rnacentral:sRNA from 1 species
CCCUAGCCCCGAUUGAAAUGAAAAUCCUUUUUUGCAAAAAAAGAUUGCAAUGGAAAGCGGGAAAAAGC